AAACUACAUGUUACCGUCCAUAAUCAUGUUCUUGGGCUCUGCUUUGCCAUGUGCGUACCAAGGUGCCUGAAACCCCAAACUUAUUAUCUCCCAAAUAAUUACCAACCAAACAGGAAGACGACGAAGGAUUCCAAUAGCUAAAUUAAUGUACAAGCAAGCAUUAAUAGCAAUACUUCAACACGAGAAAUUGGAGAUUAAAAAGAGGAGUGAUAAUAUGUAGUAUCAUUUACCUCAGACUGAAGCUUGGUUAAGAAGAGUGCAGUCACCAAUUAAGCUUGGUUCCUCGUAGCAGCUAGAAAUCACUUCAUCAAUCGGUGGCACAUCACACUUUUUUUUAACAUCACUCCACUAUGGCACUCCUUCAAAGAAUUAUUAUGUCUGGACCACAACGCCAGCGAAACCCAUCCUGCCCAGCAACCGUGAGAUGAAGUGAGUAGUUAAGUAAAGAUAAAUCAAGGAAUGAGAGUAUAUGCCGACAUCUGUGCUCUGUAGCGAGGCCAGUCUCCAUCAUAGAGGUCGCACACUCUGUGGAGCCCGUUACCACGUCAAGCACUUAGCAUGUGGUGUCGUUGGCCUGUCCGGGCGUCCUACGAAUGUCGACUCAACGUAGGAAAAAAACGGACCACUAAACCCCCGAUACAUGGGCAGCAAAGAACACGUCAAGAUCAAGCGAAAACCAAUAAGAUCAUAUCACGAUGAGGAGAGGCUGUGCCACUACCUUGUCAGGUUAUAUGUCAACGACGGAACUGAUUCCUCAUCGGCGUCGGAGAAUCGAUGGCCACCAUGUCUCCGGAGCCGGUGAAGGCUCCUGGCGUAGCAGCAUAGGAGGACACACCUGAUCUCCUUGGCUACAAGGCGGUGAAGCAAGAGGAAAUAGUUGUCGCCCCUGGCGGCGGAGGUGGGUUUCACGUGGCCGGAACGACGCCUGUGACAACACACAAAACAAUCAAGAAGAGGAAUAACUCCCAGCCUUGAUAGGAAAAGGACACGAAGUAUCGACGCAAACCAAACGAGUUGUUGCAAAAUAGAGGAGGACGAGAACAUAUUUCUUUCUUGACUGGACUAUCAAAUAUCGCAGAUGCAUUUUCCUGUGUGAGGGUCGUGAUCAGUGGAAGUGUGUUAACUGAUAUGAAUUCGGCAAUGGCAGAUGCUCUGAACUCUCUGUCAGCACAAUGCAUGGUGCAUUUAUAUUGAAUUCAUAGGCCAAAAUCAUCUAAUAUACAUAGAAAGGCUGCUGGAAGCUGAACCAAGUUAGUGAUGAAAAUACCUUAUACGUUCAACUUCUCCUCCUCUUUCUUCAGCAAGACAAGACUGUUAGCUUUUUAAAUCUUGAUUCACAUGUAUCUGCAUAUUAGUUUGCUUGUCCAUGCAUAUAGGUAGUUGUAGCAGGUGGAGCCUCGGAGAACAUGCAGGAGGUGAGAUGCGAGGAGCCGUGAGAUAUGGCGCAUGGCGAGAUGCCGAACGGUGGCGAGAGGCUGCUGUGUAUGCAUGUACGAGGUGGCUAGCUGCUGUUGCAUGAGUGGCCGGGUCGUGUGGUUCCUAGAGUGAUUCUAGGAGAAGAUCAGGUCAUUAGUUAGUGGUGUGAGUGGGUGUGUGCAUGCAGUUAGUGGGCGAGUGUGUGGUCCGGCUGCGUGGGCGUGAGUCUACUUAAGCACUUGUACGCAUAUUUGCUUUGAGAAAAGUAUACAUAGAAGAGAAAAGGGUCGGCUGUGUGAUAUAACGGCCACCAAUAUCUGUGUUCUUUUGUUCUUGCGUGAGCUUUGAGAGGAAGCUAGAGGAAUAAGAAGAGGAGCUGGCGAUCAGCUCCAACAAAGACUACAGAGGUGCACUUGGCUUCAGGGUCAAUGUGGAAAAGCUUAGCUACAUCGGGACUUGUAGUACGCUAGAAGUUGAAUGUGUCUUCCAGCCUUGAAGCAGCAGCAAGCUCAUUACUUCGAGCACCCUACAACAUUUGACAUGAUUUAUUGACCACAACACUACAGUCUGCAAUAUCUAAACUCCAGGCACUGCUACUCUUAGUGAAGGUACACAUAUAAGUAUAUGACUGCUUUCCUUUGUAGUUAGUAGCCAUGAUUGGUGGUUCGUAUAUUAAUUAAGCUGGCCAUACGAUAUUACUGCUACUCUUAGUCAUCUUUCAAACACAACAAACUUGACAUGCAUAUAUACAGAGAAUAUAAUGCUAAGUAAUGAAUGGAAGAAAAAGAAUAACAUAGAUUGUACUCCCUCCGUCCCAAAAUAAGUUGAGACACUUAUUAACUAAGUUAGUACAAAGUUGAGACACUUAUUUUGCGAUGGAGGAAGUAGAAAAUAGGAUGACACCAGAGCUCAGCAUUAAAAGAUAGCUUGAAGAAAUAAGAUGGGUAUCUAUAUAUGAGUGGAGUUAUACCUAAAUUCCUUGUUCUGUCCAAGCAAGAU
rnacentral:lncRNA from 1 species